rnacentral:rRNA from 1 species
UAAUGGCUCACCAAGGCGACGAUCCCUAGCUGGUCUGAGAGGAUGAUCAGCCACACUGGAACUGAGACACGGUCCAGACUCCUACGGGAGGCAGCAGUGGGGAAUAUUGCACAAUGGGCGCAAGCCUGAUGCAGCCAUGCCGCGUGUGUGAAGAAGGCCUUCGGGUUGUAAAGCACUUUCAGUCGUGAGGAAGGUGGUAUUGUUAAUAGCANUAUCAUUUGACGUUAGCGACAGAAGAAGCACCGGCUAACUCCGUGCCAGCAGCCGCGGUAAUACGGAGGGUGCGAGCGUUAAUCGGAAUUACUGGGCGUAAAGCGCAUGCAGGUGGUUUGUUAAGUCAGAUGUGAAAGCCCGGGGCUCAACCUCGGAAUAGCAUUUGAAACUGGCAGACUAGAGUACUGUAGAGGGGGGUAGAAUUUCAGGUGU